AAAGCCCGCAAGGGUAAGUAGAGUGGCGCACGGGUGAGUAACACGUGGACAACCUGCCUUCGAGUGGGGAAUAACCUUCCGAAAGGAGGGCUAAUACCGCAUAACACCUCGGGACACAAGUUCUGGGGUUGAAAAGAGCAAUUUGCUCGAAGAGGGGUCCGCGCCUGAUUAGCUAGUUGGUGAGGUAACGGCUCACCAAGGCUUCGAUCAGUAGCCGUCCUGAGAGGGAGCACGGCCACACUGGAACUGAGACACGGUCCAGACUCCUACGGGAGGCAGCAGUGGGGAAUUUUUGGCAAUGGGCGCAAGCCUGACCAAGCAACGCCGCGUGGGUGAUGAAGUAUCUUGGUACGUAAAACCCUUUCGGCAGGGACGAACCUAAUGACGGUACCUGCGGAAGAAGCCCCGGCUAACUCCGUGCCAGCAGCCGCGGUAAUACGGGGGGGGCAAGCGUUGUUCGGAAUUACUGGGCGUAAAGGGCGCGUAGGCGGUUGGAUAAGUCAGCUGUGAAAACCACGGGCUUAACUCGAGGCCUGCAGUUGAGACUGUCUGGCUUGAGUGUGGGAGAGGAGAGUGGAAUUCCUGGUGUAGCGGUGAAAUGCGUAGAUAUCAGGAGGAACACCGGUGGCGAAGGCGGCUCUCUGGACCACAACUGACGCUGAGGCGCGAAAGCUAGGGGAGCAAACAGGAUUAGAUACCCUGGUAGUCCUAGCUGUAAACGAUGGAUACUUGCUGUGGGGGGGUGUUAAAUCCCCCUGUGGCGGAGCUAACGCAUUAAGUAUCCCGCCUGGGGAGUACGGUCGCAA
rnacentral:rRNA from 1 species